GAUGAACGCUGGCGGCGUGCCUAAUACAUGCAAGUCGAGCGAACAGACGAGGAGCUUGCUCCUUUGAUGUUAGCGGCGGACGGGUGAGUAACACGUAGGUAACCUACCUAUAAGACUGGGAUAACUUCGGGAAACCGGAGCUAAUACCGGAUAAUAUUUCGAACCGCAUGGUUCGAUAGUGAAAGAUGGCCUUGCUAUCACUUAUAGAUGGACCUGCGCCGUAUUAGCUAGUUGGUAAGGUAACGGCUUACCAAGGCAACGAUACAUAGCCGACCUGAGAGGGUGAUCGGCCACACUGGAACUGAGACACGGUCCAGACUCCUACGGGAGGCAGCAGUAGGGAAUCUUCCGCAAUGGGCGAAAGCCUGACGGAGCAACGCCGCGUGAGUGAUGAAGGUCUUCGGAUCGUAAAACUCUGUUAUUAGGGAAGAACAUACGUGUAAGUAACUGUGCACGUCUUGACGGUACCUAAUCAGAAAGCCACGGCUAACUACGUG
rnacentral:rRNA from 1 species